AUGCCUUUCUUUUCUUUUUUUUUUUUUUUUAAAGAUUUUCCUGACUUACCCUUGGAGACCCAGCGAGGGAGGCGACACGCGGGCACGGGGAGCGCGCCGCGGGCCCGAUCCGGGACCCGAGGUCACGCCCCGGGCUGCCCCCGAUGCCGCCGCCUUCACAGCACCGCCCGCGAGCGGGGCCCCGAGUUCCCCCGCAAGGCCAGCGCGAACCCUCCGCGGGGAAGGCAGCGGCCCGUGCCCACCCCCGGCGAGGACGCGGCCGGGCCCCGAGGACCGCGCGGACGCGGCGCGGAGGGGGGCGCGACCCCGGGAGCCAGCGAGGCAGGGCUGCAGCCGCAGGGCCGCGCCGGCCGGGGUCGGGGCUCCGGGGACACGCAGGGAGGCCGGGUGCGCAGCCCGAGCCCCGACGGCGCGGCGGGACCAGGCCCGCGGUCGCGCGAGGCGGGGGACACUGACCCUCGGGCCGCAGCCGCUCCUCCCGGGCGGCCCCUCCGAGGGGCUCCCGUCCCGCCGCACGCCGGCGGCCAGCGCACGGCUCCUCCAGCUCCGGCCCGCCGAGGCGCCCGGCGCUCCGCGGUGGCGGCGCCCCUCGUCCUCUUCGGCGCCACGGCCCGCAGCUGGACCCGUUCCCCGGCGGGCGGCUCCCGGCGACCGCGGCUCCCGGCGGCCCGACUCGCAGUUGAGGAAACCCCCUCUACCAAUGGCAUAUUCCAUGAAUGGUGACCUGAUGUCCCAGAGCACACAGCAGGUAAGACAUAGUAAGGCCUCCAGGAACGCUCCAUUAGUCAGUCUUCUUACAACAGGCAGCAAUUGGUAUAGAUAAGGAAGAGCCAACUUUUAACCUCUAUCAACACCCUUGUUGGGAAUGGCUCUUGCCUCAACUGGCUUAAGGUG
rnacentral:lncRNA from 1 species